rnacentral:rRNA from 1 species
GCUUAACACAUGCAAGUCGAGCGAGAAUCGUUUUGCUGAAGGCUUCGGUCUGACGCAGAAUGAGGAAAGCGGCGAACGGGUGAGUAACGCGUGGGCAACCUGGCCUUAAGAAAAGGAUAGCCCCCGGAAACGGGGAGUAGUACUUUAUGAGAAUGAACGAGGGCAUCCUACUUUCAUUCAAAGCGCAAGCGCUUAAGGAUGGGCCCGCGUAUCAUUAGCUAGUUGGUGAGAUAACAGCCCACCAAGGCAACGAUGAUUAGCCGGUCUGAGAGGGCGAACGGCCACAUUGGGACUGAGAGACGGUCCAAACUCCUACGGGAGGCAGCAGUGGGGAAUAUUGCGCAAUGGAGAAGAACUCUGACGCAGCAAUACCGCGUGAGCGAAGAAGGUCUUCGGAUCGUAAAGCUCUGUUAUCAGGGAAGAAGAAAAUGACGGUACCUGAUGAGCAAGUCCCGGCUAACUACGUGCCAGCCGCCGCCGUAA